AUGUUGGAGUAUUAUUCUGUGAGGGGAGGCGGGCAAUCAUGGAUAUCCACAGUUUGUCCUUUUAUUUGGAUUGUUUAUCCUAUAGGCUUCCUUUUGCCUUCCUUGGCCGAAGACCUUGACUCAAGUACAGGGUGGCCAAACUCUUCCUCCAUGUCCUACUUCCGGAACGUAUCUAAGGACUGCAUUUGUUCUGUUCCACUUAAAAUGGACUGCAAGGACUCUCUGAAGAAUCGCAUCCGGAUAUUCACUGAAGCAGUAGUGGUCAUGGUAUGCCCAGUCCUUCUCUCGUUCGCGCUAAAGAAGGUGGACCUGACGGCCAAUCGAAGCAAACAAAUCGUGGACAGCAUUUCCCCGAUUGGAGCGUUAACUCUGGAAGCUGGCAUACUCCCUUUCCUCGGCCUCUGCCUCUCCACGGUGCUCGGAGAGAGGCUCGCGUGGCUCGGAUUGGCCUCGAAGCUGCUCAUCCACCUAUGUGUCAUUCUCCUCAUGGCUCUAGCCUUUGUGAUUCUGCUGCUCAUCAGCAAGAGUAACAUUGUCUGCCUAAGCAUCUGGAUCCCCUUCGUCCCCUUCAUCCUAUGGCUAGGCUACAACUCCGUGAAGGAUGAGGAGCAUGAGAACGCCGACGACGCCACGAAAUCAGCCCACCACGGGAAGCUGGAAAUCUCGGUUGAUUUCUCUGCUAGUAUCACCUCCCUUCUGUUCCUGGGAUUAGAAGGUCUUGCGUUGGAGGGACAGGCCAGCGCCAUCAAGGGGCUGGAUGCUCACCUUUCCGACUCCCUCAUCGUCAGUUUCGUGACCUGCGUCCUGGGUGUAGUCUUCAUGCUUGUUGGAACGGCUCCACCGGUGUACGGCAUGGGCCGCUUGGUGGAUUCCUUGAGGAUCUUGGAUACCUCUCUGGCAAUAGCGUUCGGGGUGAUCGUCGUGCUAAUCACAAUUGCACCUCUGAAGGAGGCGGCGUGGUUAGUAUCCAUCCCGUGGAUCCUUUCCUUUUUCGUGUGGUUGUUCAUCCGUUUGUUCGACCACGACGAGGGAGAGGACAGGGAUGUGAAGCCGGUGUCUCUAGAGCUGACCAAGGCCGCGUUCACAGGGUUCUUGGCCGUCUCCAUACCGAGCUUCAGCAAUAGCUCCACCAGCGGCGGCUACACCCACGCUUUCAUAGUGCUUACUGGGUCAGCUGUCCUCGCUGGCCUCGCGUGGAGGCUGAUCACGCACGUGAAGAAGCCGUCGCGAGCCAUGGUCUGGGCUGAAAAUGUAGCUUCUUCGUGUGCGCACAUCUGUGUUGCGGCGGCUGUUGUUCCAUUUGCAAGCAUAUCCAUGACGGUGCUCAGGUCUCUCGAAAGUUAGAUAACUUUCU
rnacentral:lncRNA from 1 species